GUCAGAUGCGGUGGCAGGCACCUGUAGUCCCAACUACUCAGGAGGCUGAGGCAGGAGGAUGGCUUGAGCCCAGGAGUUUGAGGCUGCAGUGAGCUUUCUCGCACCACUGCACUCCAACCUGGGCAACAGAGCAAGACCCUGCCUCUU
rnacentral:SRP_RNA from 1 species